rnacentral:rRNA from 1 species
AGUGAACGCUGGCGGCGUGCCUAAUACAUGCAAGUCGAACGGAGAGGCGCACGGGUGAGUAAUGUAUAGCUAAUCUGCACUACACUCGAGGACAACAGUUGUAAACGACUGCUAAAAUUCUAUAGUGUAGGAAGCGGCUAUAUUGUAUCAGCUAGAUGGUGAGGUAAUGGCUAGCAAAGGUUAUGACGCAUAACUGGUCUGAGUGGGUGAUCAGUCACACUGGAAAUGAGAAACGGUCCAGACUCCUACGGGAAGCAGCAGUAGGGAAUAGUGCUCACUGGGGGAAACCCUGAAGCAGCUGCACCGCGUGGAGGAGGACACUUUUCGCAGCUUAAACUCCUUUUGUUAGGGAAGCGGUACCUAACGAAUAAGCACCGGCUAACUCCGUGCCAGCAGCCGCGGUAAUUC